CCCCCCCGCUGCUGGGGGCCGCCGCCCCGGCCCCGCUAUGGUGAUCCCGGCCAUGUGGGCAGCAGGUACCGGGGGGGGGACGGACGGACGCGACCCACGGCGGUGCCCGGCGUGGGGUGCUGUGGGGCGCCGUGGGGCCUAUGGGGCGGUGCUGAGGUUCAGCAUCCCCAUAUGGGGUGCUAUAGGGUCCUGUGGGUGCUAUGGGGCUGUGCUGGACCCCAUGGGGGGUCCCCAGCAUAGGAUGCUGUGGGGCACCAUGGGGUGCUGUGGGGCGCCGUGGGGCCUAUGGGGCUGUGCUGACGUUCAGCAUCCCCUUGUGGGGUGCUAUGGGGUGCUAUGGGGUCCUAUGGGUGCUAUGGGGCUGUGCUGGACCCCACGGGGGUCCCCGGUAUAGGAUGCUGUGGGGCACCAUGGGGUGCUAUGGGGCCUGUGGGGCAGUGCUGAGGUUCAGCAUCCCCAUGUGGGGUGCUAUGGGGUGCUGUGGAGCCCUAUGGGUGCUAUGGGGCUGUGCUGGACCCCACGGGGGUCCCCAGCAUGGGAUGCUGUGGGGCGCUGUGGGGUGCUAUGGGGCGCUAUGGGGCCUGUGGGGCUGUGCUGAGGUUCAGCAUCCCCAUGUGGGGUGCUGUGGGGUGCUAUGGGGUGCUAUAGGGUCCUGCAGGUGCAUGGGGGUCCCCGAUAUAGGAUGCUGUGGGGCACCAUGGGGUGCUAUGGGGCCUGUGGGGCUCUGCUGGGGUUCAGUGUCCCCAUGUGGGGUGCUAUGGGGUGCUAUGGGGUCCUAUGGGUGCUAUGGGGCUGUGCUGGACCCCAUGGGGGUCCCCGGCAUGGGAUGCUAUGGGGCCUAUGGGGCUGUGCUGGGGUUCAGCAUCCCCAUGUGGGGUGCUAUGGGGUGCUAUAGGGUCCUGCGGGUGCUAUGGGGCUGUGCUGGACCCCAUGGGGGUGCCCAGCACGGGGUGCUGUGGGGUGCUAUGGGGCUGGACCAGAGCUGGGUGUCCCCAGCACAGGGUGCUAUGGGGCGCUGUGGGGCCCAUGGGGUUGUGCUGAGGUUCAGCAUCCCCAUGUGGGGUGCUAUGGGGUGCUAUAGGGUCCUGUGGGUGCUAUGGGGCUGUGCUGGACCCCACGGGGGUCCCCGGCAUGGGGUGCUGUGGGGCACCAUGGGGUGCUGUGGGGCUGUGGGGUGUCGCCGGCCGGAGGAGGGUGUUGUGGGGUGGGGGUGUCCCCCGUGUAGGGGUGUUGCAGGGUGGGGUGUCCCCCGGGAACAGUGUUGCAGGGUGAGGGUGUCCCUGUCCCCCCCCAUGAAGGGGUGUUGCAGGGUGGGGUGUCCCCUUGGGAGGGGGUGUUGCGGGGUGGGGUGUCCCCCCGGGAAUGGUGUUGCAAGGUGGGGGUGUCCCGUCCCCCCCCAUGAAGGGGUGUUGCGGGGUGGGGUGUCCCCCCGG
rnacentral:lncRNA from 1 species